CAGCAGUAGCCGCGGUAAUACGGAGGGUGCAAGCGUUAAUCGGAAUUACUGGGCGUAAAGCGCACGCAGGCGGUCUGACAAGUCAGAUGUGAAAUCCCCGGGCUUAACCUGGGAACUGCAUUUGAAACUGUCAGGCUGGAGUCUUGUAGAGGGGGGUAGAAUUCCAGGUGUAGCGGUGAAAUGCGUAGAGAUCUGGAGGAAUACCGGUGGCGAAGGCGGCCCCCUGGACAAAGACUGACGCUCAGGUGCGAAAGCGUGGGGAGCAAACAGGAUUAGAUACCCGAGUAGUCCCUGUCUCUUAUAC
rnacentral:rRNA from 1 species